AUGUUGAGUGUUCCACUGCCUGCUGAAAUGGAGAAGCCAAGGAGCUUGGGCUGGUUUUGUCCAGGGUGGUUGCAGAUUGUAAAGCUAAUUAUUUUGAAGGCACCCAUGUCCCACUUUCCAACUCCUCAUCCUCCCUGCUUGGAACCCUCACCUGUACCACCCCUCUGCCACGGGAGUGCAGGGAGUCUGGCAGCUGAGGCACACAAGAGCCUUUGGAGGUUUUUGAGAACCUGGGCUGGAUUGACAGCAUCCCUGAGCAGGCUAGGCUGUUUUUUUUUUCUAUUGCCUACAGAUGAAAGAUUUCUUUUUUCCCUAACACCUUGUCAAAAUGUACUCCCUGACAUGGCAAAGAAGCAAAUCCAGCCAGCAAAGCUUUGGUUUCUCCUGAGGAUUGGACUCCUCGACCGUUUGCAGCACAGCAGGUACAAAACUCAUCACGUGAGGAAGGCAGUUCUGUAAACAUGCGAGCAUUACCGCAGUACAAGCACCAUGCUGAGUGACAAGGUACACUGGAAAAGACUGAGGUUCAUACCACUUUACACUGUUCGGGGGGUUUUAGGGCAAGUCAGGUCAAUGACCUGUCCCAGUGCACCCUAGCUCUAUCCAGCCCGGUUUCACUCUGACGUUGCUAACAUCAAACGCUGGCGUUUGCCAGCUCCUGGCAAGCACUCAGACAGCACACGGAGGUGAACAGGAGCUCCCUCUGCAGUGACACACAAGAUCACCCUGCACAGGGUCACCUGGACUGGUGUACUCUGCACAGCUAUGGGUUUUAAUAUUUAAACAUCCAGUUAAAAAAAAAAAAAAAGGAAAACGUUCAAUUUGAGAAGCAGAUGUAGCUGGUGCACUAGAUAGCCCUUCCUCUACCCUCACAUUUUUCUGCCCAACACAGUAACUAUUUCAUAUACCACAUCCAGUCCUAAUGCUUUGUACUGUACAACUUCAAGAAUGAUAGGACAGGCACACUUCUACUCCUGGCCCUGCCCACAAGGUAUUAGAGCAGCUAGCAGGAGAGGUAUAAAGCUGGGCCCUUCAGGGCUGUCCUGACUUGUUUAUGCCUGGGUUUGAACUGGCCUCCCAGCAAAGUCCUUGGCACAAAGACAUCCUGCCAAGAGUCUCUACCUUCCUUCAGCUUCCUCAAGUUCUUAUUCUGGAGCCUCCAAGCAACUAAAACCAAGUUUUCCUCCAGUUGCUUCUUCCGUGAUUUUGGAAACUUUCUGAUGUUGAUUAUUAUUUAUCUGUUUUUCCCCAAAGAAGAACCUACAAAGAAUCCUUCUUCCCACCAGAGAAAUGUAAAAUCAGUAACUUUCUACUUUGUUUUAGCUUUUCCCAUGCUUGCAGUACAGACCCCAGCUGACUCAAGCCUGUGGCCGCAGCCCUGUUUCAGUACUCUUUCCACCUAAUGCAGCGUGGUAUCCUGUUUGCCAUCCUUCCUGCUGCUAUAGUCCAUUAGGCUGAUAGCGUCAGUUUUUCCACUCAAACUCCCACAUCCUUUUCCUGAUCAACACACUGCACGAUUGUUCCAUUGACUGCACUCUGAUGGGAAAACCUUAUUGUGCCUGAGCAUUGUCCCACAAAGAAAAGGGAGGGUUUCCUUCAAGCCUAUGCUAGAGCUGUCUGUGAAUGCACCACUACAGCAUCCUCAAAUAUUCAAAAAAUAAGUCAUAUUCCCUGAGGAAUAUUACUUUAUAGUAUUUCCUCCACAGCAUCACUUGCACAUAAACACUAAAUGAUCUCAGCCUGUAAAUGUACAGCAAGAUGCAGAUACCAGAGCACUAACUCCUGCCUGUGUCCCAGCCCCACCAGUCCCUGUUUCCAGCUGUGUCCUAGUGCAGCUACCACCAAGCAGCUCCAGCUCCUGCUCUCCUCUUACAGCCCAUGUUUCCUUCAGCCAGGGUCAUCCUCCAUGCUGCACAGGGCACCUGCUGCCCCUCCACACAGCUGCUGCCAUUAGCAGACUGUGAGAGCCCUGCUGGCAAAGGCCAUUCCCCUCUGCUGCUCCCACAGCAAGGCUUCCCCCUGCCCCAGGUUUAUUUAAUAAUCCCUUCUGGUGGGGAGAUUGGCAGAUUUUCUGCUUGUUAGAGAGCCAGCGUGACAUCUUCACCUGCACUGCCUGAUCACAAAGGGAGGAUCUGGCUGACCAGCUCCCAGGUGAAGGAAAAGCAACCCAAACUACCCAUUAAAAAGGAAUUGCAUAAACAGUAUCAUCCCAGAGCAAUCAUUACACAGCAAAACCUGUGAGCUUCUUGUGCAGUGUAAAAUGAGACCAUUACGAGCUACGUACCUGUGCCCAGCCUUCCCCCUGUCUCCACAUGUCCAAGUUUAGGGCAGCAAAACCACUGAGCUGCACGGCAUCGAAGGCAGCACCAUCACGGCAGCAGCUGCAGUUUGCAAGGACACCAGGAGCAAAGUGAGGGGUGACAACAGCCGAACUGGGUAACAGGGAAUGAGGUGAGCAAAUUAAAUGCAAUCCCAACCUCAAAUGUUUCUGCUGGUCAAAGAGGUGAGGUGAGGUGAGGUGAGGAAGGGGAGAGAAUUGCUCAGGUACUGGCAGGGGCAGUUGGAGCAAGGCCCUCCCUCAAAGCAGCCAUUGAGGCACCAAUUACCUUCUCCUGUUGAAAGCUGCAGCCACAGCCCAGGAUUGUGAAGGAAACGAGUCUCAUGAGAUGGUAUGAAUUUGAAAAAUCUUCACAAAAAACACACCUCUGUUCAGCAGAACCAAGGCAGACUGGCGUUAUCUGAACAUCCAACCCAGACCGUGUCAUGAUUUACUCUUCAAUUUGCAUCCACUCUCCAUUAACUCAGAAUCCUAAUGAUACCUGUUUUAAAUAUUCAAAUACUUAUUCAGAUUUCAAGCAGGCUCUGAGCACCACCCAGACUGACUCAUUAACUGAACAUGUGAAACAGCAACAUACUUAUCUGUAUUAUUAAAACUUCAUUCUUGACAUAUUCUUUGUCACUCAGAUCAUUUAAGGACUUAAGGACUGCAAGGCUGUGGAAAACAAAUAAUCAAACCUAAGAAGUGCCCCGUGUUAUGAAAGAUGACAGGACAGGCUCAUAAAUGCCAAGAUGAGAGAGAUCUCCAAGGCAGAUAAGAAACUGCGGGGAAUAAGCUAGUUGUUUGGGAUAAUAAAUCAUUCACUGCAAAAAGAUGCAGCUUGAAGUUGAGAAGAAUCAUUCAGAGAACUCAGGUAACAUUUGAUCAGGAAAAUAAUUGCCUCAGUGGCACCAGAAAAGACCUAACUUCUUAUAGCGAGGAGGGAUGUCUAACCCCCCCUUUUAUUUUUUUCAAAACAGGGACAAAUUGACAUCAGAACUGCACGGUAAAUACGCUUUAUAGAACUCCAGGAUAGCAACUAAAUUCAGGAGGGGAAAUUCUAACUGUGCCUUACUACUCCAGCUAUCAUUUUUCCUUGACUUGAGCAAUGGUCUCACCAGAUAUGAGAGAAAUCUCUGCUUCAGCCCUCUCAGAUGUCACCUGCAAGUAACAAAAAACAAACAAACAAAAACAUUUCUGUGGCAGUACAGAAUUUGUUUCACCAGCAGCUUAGGAGUACAACUGUUGCAGUCAAAUCAAGUGUUUUGACUCUAAUUAGGAGGGUACCGAGCAUAUGCUUACCCUUAAGCACCUGCGUGGAUAUCAAAGAAAAACUCUGCCCUUUGCACUUGUAAAUGAAAUGAAAUAGGCAGAAUUGUAGUCUAAAAGAGCAAGAGGUCUACUGUAAAUUGACUGUAAAUCGCCUUGUGAGACAUCAGGGAAAUAUCAGACACAUGGAAGAAAGGGCAGACUCCUAGUGUAAAGCAUGUUAAAAUGCAAAUGAAAGUCAAUGGGUGGCAGACCUUCGUGACUCCCCUCUGAUCCUUCUCAUUAUAUGCAUCCUCGUAUUGCCACUCAUGGCUUUAAACUGUAGAUUUUGUUUUC
rnacentral:lncRNA from 1 species